AGGACGAACGCUGGCGGCGUGCUUAACACAUGCAAGUCGAGCGACAGCGGCCUUCGGGUCGUAUGGAGCGGCGAACGGGUGAGUAACACGUGGGCAACCUGCCCUCAGCUCUGGGAUAACUCCGGGAAACCGGGGCUAAUACCGGAUACGACACGUCCCUGCAUGGGGGUGUGUGGAAAGUUCUUCGGCUGAGGAUGGGCCCGCGGCCUAUCAGCUUGUUGGUGGGUGAUGGCCUACCAAGGCGACGACGGGU
rnacentral:rRNA from 1 species